GUUGAGCGGAGAUAUAUGGAGCUUGCUUUAUAUAACUUAGCAGCGAACGGGUGAGUAACACGUAGAUAAUCUAUCCUAUACUGGGGGAUAGCCCGAUGAAAGUUGGAUUAAUACCGCAUAUAGCUAUAUAGUUGCAUGAUUAUGUAGUGAAAGAUUUAUUGGUAUAGGAGGAGUCUGCGGCACAUUAGCUAGUAGGUGAGGUAAAGGCUUACCUAGGCGACGAUGUGUAGCCGGUCUGAGAGGAUGAACGGCCACAAUGGAACUGAGACACGGUCCAUACUCCUACGGGAGGCAGCAGUGGGGAAUAUUGCACAAUGGGGGAAACCCUGAUGCAGCAACGCCGCGUGAGUGAAGAAGGUUUUCGGAUUGUAAAGCUCUGUUAGCAGGGAAGAGGAAGGACGGUACCUGCAGAGGAAGCCACGGCUAACUACGUGCCAGCAGCCGCGGUAAUACGUAGGUGGCAAGCGUUGUUCGGAAUAACUGGGCGUAAAGGAUGCGUAGGCGGUUAAACAAGUUAUAUGUUAAAUAUAUAGGCUUAACCUGUAGAAAGCAUAUAAAACUGUUUAACUAGAGUGCAGGAGAGGUAAGUGGAAUUCCUAGUGUAGCGGUGAAAUGCGUAGAGAUUAGGAAGAACACCAGUGGCGAAGGCGACUUACUGGACUGUAACUGACGCUGAGGCAUGAGAGCAUGGGGAGCAAACAGGAUUAGAUACCCUGGUAGUCCAUGCUGUAAACGAUGGGUACUAGGUGUGGGUUGUGA
rnacentral:rRNA from 1 species